AAGGAACCUAGAACACUAACUCCAUUUACUCUCAUCCCAAGUUAUAUGCUCUUGUUACCAGGUCUUUUAGUUCUCUUAUUUUUUAAAACCAAGUUUUAUAUAAUCAAUGUUCUUUAUUUACCACUUAUUUUGCUCUUCAUUCCUUCAGAAAUCUCUGCCUGUCCAUCUGGGAUCAUUUCCCUUUUGUCUGAAGUUUAUCCUUUAGCACAGGAGUCAGCAAGCUACGGUCCACAGGCCAAAUGCAGCCCACGGCCUAUUUUACAGGUUUUCAC
rnacentral:lncRNA from 1 species